AGCCAUUCUAAAUACAGCUGAAUGCUUCAAGUAAAUAAGGUUCUAUUUUCAGCCCAGGCAGCUGAAAACACCUUGGAGGUCCUCUGAAAGCAAGAGGUUUGUUCCACCAUGCAGGAGACAUCUCUUCCACUCUUCACACUAACAUUGCUCUACAAAAUCCUCAUUCCAAUGCUGGUGACAAUGUGGUGUUUCUCUUGCUCCUCCCACAGGGGCUGGCAUUUUGUAGGAGUAUGUCCUUGUUCAUAACCCAUUUUCUUCCUCUCAUAAUAAUAACAAAAUCUGUUAUUUUCCCACUUCCUCCAUUUUUGUAGCCAAGAUCCUGCCAUGUCACCUGUUCCCUGUCUGAGUCCCAGCAGUAAGUAACAUAUAUAAUUAGCUGGCAGUGAGAACUCCUCAUCCUCGCCUAAUACCCUGUCCUCACUUGAGAACGGCAGAUGCACACCCUUCCAACAACUGUAUCUGUGGCUGCUCCUGCCUUUGACAGCUGCUCCUGGAUAUCAAAUGGAAGUGUAGGACAGAUGUUUCUAAUCCCUUCCUGGCUGUCAUUGUGCUCUAGGAGAAAUCUGGAUUUGGCACAGUGCUUGGAUGCUUCAACACUUACCUGGGCCAAAAGUGGAAUCAGUCUGCAGAUAUCUCCCAUGUCAUCAUCACAGGAGUUUUAUGCAGCACAGCAAGUCUUCUAUAGUCUUAUCACUAGUACUGUCUAAUUCACUGUCAGUUCUUUUCCUAGGACAAAACAAUAGGAGAGAAGUUAAAGGAAAGAAGGAUUCCAGGUGACAUGGAGCCUACCAAAAAACCCUGCAUCCCAUCCUUUGAUCAAGUGUGCAGAUCACAAAGCAUCCAGCUCCUCAAAUCUUUAGCUGAGAACACAGAAAGGAGAUGAUUUACAUGGCCUCACAGUCAUGUGAAUACUAAACCUAGAGAGCUGAUGAAAGAGUUAAGUCCUCUGAAGACAAAAGAAAUAAGGUCUCCGAGGAAUGCAUCUUAGCACAUCUAUUCCCUGG
ensembl:lncRNA